ACGUGGCGACACUCUCAACCAAACAGCCCCUCCUUCAGCCCCUCCUUCAGACCCUGGUUCAGUCCCUUCACAGAAAAAGGGCUUCAGUCUUCCUCAGCUGUUGCCUUCACGGUCCAGUAACCCAUAUAAACCCCUUGAUGAUGACAAAUAAACAGAAGAACUAACGCCAUUUUGACCUUAAUUCACAGAUGUUCGUGGACAGAAUCAACAUCUGCUUGACGGAGAAACACCUUUACCAGAUCAAGAAAUAACCUCAAAAAAUAAAACAUCUGUUAAACACAUGUACACGAAGAAUGAUUUAAACAUCUGUAGAAGAAUGACUUAGAGAAACACCUGAUAAAUAUAUAUAGAAGAAUAAUGAAGAAAUUACCUGAUAAACAUGUGGAGAAGAAUGACUAGAUAGCAGUGAUAAAGGUGUCGUGUGGGAGUAGAUGUGGCAGCAUUGCUCGAGUGUAUAAAACAAGAGAUAUUUUAAAUCUUCUAAAAAUGAUAAUAACAAAUACGCUUAUGUGAACAAAAACAAACAAAUAAAUAGAUAAUUAUAUUUAUCAAAUUAUGUAAUAAUUUUUAACACAACCAUAGACAUAUUUAACAUUAUUGGAACCAAAACGAAUAAUUUUAACCAAACAACAACAAAAUUCUCAACAUUAUUGGAACCUAAACUAACAAUUUUACCCAAACAUCAACAAUAAAGGAACACGAGCCUAAAAAAUUCACAAAAUUAGAUCAAUAAUUUACAAUAUCAAUUUUGUCAUUAUAAAAGUAACUAAUAACAACUUAAACCCUUAUAUCUACUUAUAUUCACUUUACUACACUCUAAAGUCACUGUAAAUGGGGUUAGUACUUAAGGGGGAAGUAUUUUGUAAGUAUCACAUUGCCUACUAUAAUUUCUAAGUAAUUAUACGCUAUUGAUACACCUAUUAUGUGUUAUAGGGCCUAUAUAAUUAAAUAGGCCUAUGUAUAUGCUACGGGACUAUAUAAAUUAAAUAGGCCUACACAUAUACCACGGGAUUAUAUAAAUUAAACAGGCCUAUGUUAUACCGCGAGACUAUAUAGUUGAAAUAGGCCCACAUAUAUAGAACAGGACUUUAAAUUAUAUAGGCCUAUACACAAACAUAAAAGCAAAUUAUUUUCCGAUAGGCCUAAACAUUAUGCUUUCUUAGUUCAAUAAAAUGGGGCCGCUUUCAGUAUGAGUAUUAUGAGUACACUUUGAGUAUUUUGUGAAUACUGUAUUAUGAGUACAUAGUAUUUUUGUGAGUAUUUUGUGAGUACUGUAUUAUGAGUA